GAUGAACGCUGGCGGCGUGCCUAAUACAUGCAAGUCGAGCGAACAGACGAGGAGCUUGCUCCUCUGACGUUAGCAGCGGACGGGUGAGUAACACGUGGAUAACCUACCUAUAAGACUGGGAUAACUUCGGGAAACCGGAGCUAAUACCGGAUAAUAUAUUGAACCGCAUGGUUCAAUAGUGAAAGACGGUUUUGCUGUCACUUAUAGAUGGAUCCGCGCCGCAUUAGCUAGUUGGUAAGGUAACGGCUUACCAAGGCAACGAUGCGUAGCCGACCUGAGAGGGUGAUCGGCCACACUGGAACUGAGACACGGUCCAGACUCCUACGGGAGGCAGCAGUAGGGAAUCUUCCGCAGUGGGCGAAAGCCUGACGGAGCAACGCCGCGUGAGUGAUGAAGGUCUUCGGAUCGUAAAACUCUGUUAUUAGGGAAGAACAAAUGUGUAAGUAACUAUGCACGUCUUGACGGUACCUAAUCAGAAAGCCACGGCUAACUACGU
rnacentral:rRNA from 1 species